rnacentral:rRNA from 1 species
AUGCCGAAGGCCGGCGGCGGGGACGAGGAGGAGUUCCGCGCCGAGGUGGAGGAGCGGCUGAUCAACGAGGAGUACAAGAUCUGGAAGAAGAACACGCCCUUCCUCUACGACCUCGUCAUCACCCACGCGCUCGAAUGGCCCUCGCUCACCGUGCAGUGGCUCCCCGACCGCACCGAGCCCGCCGGCAAGGACCACUCCGUGCAGAAGAUGGUGCUCGGCACCCACACCUCCGACAACGAGCCCAACUACCUCAUGCUCGCCCAGGUCCAGCUCCCCCUCGACGACGCCGAGGCCGACGCGCGCCACUACGACGACGACCACGCCGACAUCGGCGGCUUCGGGGCCGCAUCCGGCAAGGUGCAAAUAGUUCAACAGAUAAAUCAUGAUGGAGAAGUUAAUCGGGCUCGAUAUAUGCCCCAAAAUUCUUUUAUUAUUGCUACCAAGACAGUCAGUGCAGAGGUGUAUGUCUUUGAUUAUAGCAAGCACCCAUCAAAGCCUCCACUAGAUGGUGCGUGCAAUCCUGAUUUACGGCUGAAGGGACACAACUCUGAAGGAUAUGGCCUGUCCUGGAGUAUCUUUAAAGAGGGUCAUUUGCUGAGUGGAUCGGAUGAUGCUCAAAUUUGCUUAUGGGACAUCACAGCAAAUGGUAAAAAUAAAACUCUCGACGCAUACCAGAUUUUUAAGUUUCAUGAUGGCGUCGUUGAAGAUGUUGCUUGGCAUUUGAGGCAUGAAUACUUAUUCGGCUCAGUUGGUGAUGAUCAUCAUCUCCUAAUUUGGGAUAUGCGUAGUCCUGCACCUACCAAGCCUGUACAGUCUGUGGUGGCACACCAGGGUGAGGUGAAUUGCCUGGCUUUCAAUCCUUUCAAUGAAUGGGUUGUUGCAACUGGUUCAACCGACAAGACUGUCAAAUUAUUUGAUCUUCGGAAGAUUGAUACUUCGCUGCACACUUUUGAUUGUCACAAAGAGGAAGUAUUUCAAGUUGGAUGGAGCCCAAAGAAUGAAACUAUACUUGCAUCUUGUUGUCUGGGAAGGAGGCUGAUGGUUUGGGAUCUAAGCAGAAUUGAUCAGGAGCAAACACCAGAGGACGCGGAGGACGGCCCUCCUGAGCUCUUGUUCAUUCAUGGAGGCCACACAAGCAAAAUCUCAGACUUCUCCUGGAACCCGUGUGAGGACUGGGUGCUUGCAAGCGUUGCUGAAGACAACAUCCUUCAGAUAUGGCAGAUGGCGGAGAACAUCUACCAUGAUGAGGAUGAUCUUCCCAGCGAUGAGCCGGCAAAGGCUUCAUGA